GGCUGCACCUGUGGCAUAUGGAAGUUCCCAUGCUUGGGGUUGAAUCGGAGCUACAGACGCUGGCCUACAUCACAGCCACGGCAACUCAGGAUCUGAGCCACAUCUGUGACCUGCACCAUAGCUCACAGCGAUGCUGGAUUUCUGACCCACUGAGUGAGGCCAGGAAUUGAACCCGAGUUCUCAGUUCCUGGCAGUUUAGAAAGGCCACUUCACUGAAGCUCACAUUCAAUAUCAUCUAUAGGUUGCAGAGCAAACUUGGAAAAUGGUGAAGGGCUGUUAGCCUUGCUGCCUCCUCUCUCCUGCGUAUUGUUCAAAGUCUGGCCAUCGGACCUGGAGAUUCAGACCAAGUGCCCCCACGAUGAGCUGUUAAUUUCCUGAUCCGACAUCCAGGGGUGGAAAUGCAGGCAGAGUUUUCUGAUCGUGUGGAACUUGUGUACCAAGCCAUCCUGAGCCACAGCAAGACACACUCGCGUGAUCCUAACACCCAACACAAAACAGCAACUGGGAGGAGUUUUUAAUUUCUCUUUUCUCCUCAUCCAAAAGCCUCAAUCCUGGCCUUGUUUUCAAAGAUCAUUUCAAUCCAUGUUCUUAAAUCCAUUCAUGCAGGUUUGCUAAAGAGGCAGAAUGCAUAUGCCCAAAGAAAGAACAACGUGAGUUUACUGUUACUGGAGGUGGGGUACGAACAUAGACGGAAAUGGGCGUUUAAUGGAAGAAUGGAACAUUUCAUGCUGAAAUGGGAAAAUUACACACUCUGCAGGGUCACAGGAGAAAAACUCUGCCAGAGAUCUUGAACCUGAUCUAAUUUCAGCUAACUUGGUACCAGAGGCACCUGCUAUAUGUACAACUGGUUAACCCUUUAACAACCCUGACCUCCCUACUAUCUGUUAUUGUGACACCAGCUACCUUUACUCAGCAGAUUUCCACUCAAGGUCAGGUUUCAGUUUCAAUGUCCCAACCUGUUAUUCACUCAUGACUUGGAUAAUUUAAUGGGACUCCUUUCUCACACUUUAUACAGUCCUGGAUGGGGCAAUCCAGGUUUGAAGAUGGCAAGGUCUCAUUCUGUCUGGACCAGAGAUGCAAGGUUUGCAUAAGAAUUUUGUACCCGUGGCACGGACAGUCCAGCAGACACCUCACCCAGCCUAUCAGGUGUUUUUCAAACUCACAUGGAUACAGGAAAAUCAUGGUCUUAGAAGAGGAUUUAUAGACCUACUGCACACCACAGGUGAAACUUAGAUGUGUUUCCUUCAAACUUCCAAAAGCUAUCCUCCACCACAUUUAUAGAGAGAGCUGGGAAGCGUAGUUUUUCUGGUGUUUUGUUAAGCCAUGAAAAAGAGACCUACCUUCAAAGAAUGGAUUAGUGUGCGUUUUUAUACCAAUAAGGAUAUGCUAGACAUUUUCACUCAAGUUUCUCUAGGUAUGCAAAAACAUUCUACAUUCUUCGACUUAAAUUUUACAUGUAAUAUUUGUGGUAAAUGAUUUUAUGUUUCAUAUAGAAGUAUAUACCAUAUAUAAUAAACACCUCUAGUAUAAGUAUAAAAUAAAUGAAGUAAAAUAAUAUAAUCAACAUAUUAUACAUAUUUAUAUUAGAUAAUCUAAUAAAUAUAAAUAUAUUAGAGAUGAUUAUUAAACAUAAUAUAUAUUCACUACGAAUGUAUCUAUUUGUUCUAUUUCUCUGGAGAACCCUAACACAACCUUCCUGAGCAAUUAUUAAAUUCUCAGACUUCUUUUUAGGUUUGCAAACAGUAUCGUGGUUUGAGAUAUAAGUAUUUGCUACAUGUGAUUAUUCCACUCUGUUCUCCCUCAUUUACAUCUGUUACACUGCUUAUUUUGAUUAUUCCUCCUAAAUUAAAAUUUAAAAGUUUCCUUACCACAUAUUCCUUGAAUGCUGCUACUCUUUUUUUUUCUCUUGCAAAAUUCUUCUAGAGGGCUGUCCAGAUAAAGGUACCCCAUCUCUCCUUUUCAAGCCUCUCCUGAACGACUUGAAAGCCAAGUUCGGAAUGUGGCUUGCAUCACCAAUGCAGAUGUGAGCCAAAUAUGAAGCAAGGAUGACUGACUGGGAUGCACUCCCAUUUCAGUGAUCUCCAACCAUUAAAUGCAAUGGACCAGGUCAAGUUCUUACCUUAGGAGAUGUUCUGAAGGAGGCAUGUCCCGUGCCGCUUCUGAGAAGAACCAGGUAAUAUCAUUGCAGGGUGCAGGGCAAAGUCCUGUUUUUCCGUUUACCAUGAAAACAGGCUCCCUGCACAGAAAGAGCCACUUCCUCUUGUGUCCUGAAAUGAGAAAAUAUGGAAUGGAUAAGCAAUGAUAUCCUGCUGUGUAGCACAGGGAACUAUAACUAAUCACGUGUGAUGGAACAUGAUAGAGGAUAAUGUGAAAAAAAUGUAUAUAAAUGUAUAACUGGGUCACUUUGCUGUACAGCAAAAAUUGACAGAACACUGUAAAUCAACUAUAAUAAAAACAAUUUAAAAAACAAACACAUGGAGCAGAGCCUUAUGUGAGCCUCCUCUUGCCCAGCCAGGAGGUUGCAUUAAAUACUGACAGGUGUCAAGCACCUGUGAUGUGGGAUGUUUGGGACACCAGCCAUGGGGGCUCACAGAGAUGUCUGAUACAUUCUCACACAUCCUAUGUGGAAACACAGACACUGCCAAAGUGAGCAGCCUAAUACCCUAUGAGCCUGGGAGCAGGAAAGCUCAUGGUUUUUUUUUUGCGUGGACAGAGGAAGGAGGCAGCAGUCUUCUGAAGGAGCCUACUCUUUAUUCCCAUCCUUUGGAAAUGUCUCCAGGAAUCUGAGAGAUUUUUUUUUCUAAGUUUUUAAACUUUUCUUGAAGUACAGUUGAUGUGCAAGAUUCUGAUCAUUUCUGCUGUACCACAAAAGUGAUUCAGGUAUACAUGUGCACACAUCCAGAUUCUUUUCCCACAUAGAUGGUCACAGAAUAUGGGAUAGAGUUCUCUGUGCUAGACAGUAGGUCCCCAUUGGCCAGUCAUUCCAUUUACUUCAUGUUCAUAUGCUAAUUCCAAACAUCCAUCCCUCCCUCCACACCUGUCCACUUUGGUAACCAUAAGUUUAUUUUCAAUGUCUGUGAGUCUGUUUCUGCUCUGAAAAUAAGUUCAUUUGCAUUCCUUUUUAAGAUUCCACAUGUAAAUGAUAGAGUAUAUUUGUAUUUAUCUCUGAUUAACUUCACUUAGUAUGAGAAUCUUUAGGUCCAUCCAUGUUGCUGCAAAUGGCAUUAUUUCAUUCUUUUUUUUAUGGCCAAGUCUCUGCCCCUUUUUUUUUAAAAACCUCCUACCAAUGUCUAUAAAGUCAUGGGGUCAUUUCUCCUUGAACUGUAAAUACCGUUAGUGGACAUAGUCUUCUAUGGAACUUAGAGCUUAAUCUAAAGAUAAGUAUGAGCUUUAAUCAACUGCUUUUGGGGAAGAUAAGGGACAUUUUACUAUCCUGUUUGAUCAAAGCAAUUAUUUCCUUCAUUAGAAAAACAAAUGCCGAUGAUUGAGUACAGAAAAACCUUCAACCAAGUAGACUAGACUACAAACUAAAAAAAGAUUUCCUACUCCAGAAGACAAAAAGGAGUCCACAUCAAGAUGGUAGGGGGGCGAUUACAGAAUAUAACCACCAGGUGGAGGGCCCACAGACUGGAAAGUAUCUGUAUCACAGGGACUCACUUAUGGGAGUGAGAGUUCUGAGCCCCAUGUCAGGUCCUCAUGCCUGAGGAUCUGGUAUUGAAGGCCAGUGGGACUUGUGCACAGGAGCCCCACAAGACUCAGGAAAAUGGAUAUUCCACUCUUGAAAGGUAUACCCAGAUUUUCCUGUGCACUGGGUCCCAGAGCCAAUCAGAGACUCCACAGGAAUCUGGGUCAGACCUGACUGCAGUUCUUGGAGGGUCUCCUGGGAAAACAGGGGGUGACUGGCGCUCAUUGGGGGGAAGGUCAUUGGAGGCAAAGGUCUCAAGAAUAAUCAUCAGCAUGUGCUCCUCUAGAGGUGGCCAUUUUGGGAAAAUCUGGACCCACCCAUUAGGGCUGAGAGGCUUCAGGCCAACAAUAAUCCAGGUGGGAACAUAGCCCCAACCAUCAACAAACAGUCUGCCUAAAGUCACCCUAGGCACACAGCUGCCUCUAGUCUUACACAGAGACAAAGCCCCAUCCACCAGAGGGAUAAGAAUCAGCUCCACUUACCAGUGGGCAGGCACCAGUCCCUCCCAUCAGGAAGCCUACAGCGAGCCCCGUUAUCAACUCCAACCACAAUAGGGGCAGAUCUCAGAAGUAAGAGAGCCUACAACUUGAUUGUCUGCAAAAAGGAGACCACACCAAAAAUCUAUACAAAAUGAAAAGGCAAAGAAUUAUGACUCAGAUAAGCAAUAAAGAAAAAAAAACCUAGAAAAAUUGUUAAGUGAUCUGGAGCUUACCAACUUUCAUGAAAAAGACUUUAGACUGAUGCUAGUAAAGAUGAUUCAAGAACUUGGAAAUUAGCUGGAGGUAAAGACUGAUAAAUUACAAGAAAUAUUGGGCAAAGAAAUAGAAGAAUUAAGGACUAAGCAAGCAGAGAUGCAAAAUAUAGGAGGUAGAAGAAUGAAUAAGCAAGGUAGAGGACUGACUAGUAGAAAUCACCAAUACAGAAGAGAAAAGAGAAAAGAAGACUGAAAAGAAAUUAAGAAAGUCUAAGAGAACACUGGUGUUAACGGCACUAACAUCUGCAUGGGGUGCCAGAUGAGAAGAGAGAGAGGGGACCAGAGAAAAUAUUUGAAGAGAUAACAGCUGAAAACUUCCCUAACAUGGGAAAGGAAUCACUCACUCAAAU
rnacentral:lncRNA from 1 species